AGGACGAACGCUGGCGGCGUGCUUAACACAUGCAAGUUGAACGGUAUGACAUGGAAGCUUGCUGAAGUGUCAUAUAGUAGCGGACGGGUGAGUAAUGCAUGAGAAGCUGCCAUUGGGAGGGGGACAACAGUUGGAAACGGCUGCUAAUACCCCGUAUGCCGGAAGGUGAAAGGGAGCGAUCCGCCCGAUGAGGUGCUCAUGUCCUAUCAGCUGGUUGGUGGGGUAACGGCCUACCAAGGCGACGACGGGUAGCCGGCCUGAGAGGGUGAACGGCCACACUGGAACUGAGAUACGGUCCAGACUCCUACGGGAGGCAGCAGUGGGGAAUAAUUGGGCAAUGGGGGCAACCCUGACCCAGCGACGCCGCGUGGGGGAAGACGGCCUUCGGGUUGUAAACCCCUUUUGUACGGGAAGAAGGAAGUGACGGUACUGUACGAAUAAGUCCCGGCUAACUACGUGCCAGCCGCGGC
rnacentral:rRNA from 1 species